GACAGAGGAGCCAAGCGUUGUCCGGAUUGACUGGGCGUAAAGCGCACGCAGGCGGCCCGGCGCGUGGGGUGUGAAAGCUGGCGGCUUAACUGCCAGACGCCAUCCCAUACGGCUGGGCUCGAGCCCUGCAGAGGUCCAUGGAAUUGCCGGUGUAGUGGUGAAAUGCGUAGAGAUCGGCAGGAACACCCAGGGGGAAACCAGUGGACUGGGCAGGACGCUGACGCUGCAGGUGCGAAAGCGUGGGGAGCGGAACCGG
rnacentral:rRNA from 1 species